rnacentral:rRNA from 1 species
AACGAACGCUGGCGGCAUGCCUAACACAUGCAAGUCGAACGAGACCUUCGGGUCUAUUGGCGCACGGGUGCGUAACGCGUGGGAACCUGCCCUUAGGUUCGGAAUAACUCCCCGAAAGGGGUGCUAAUACCGGAUAAUGUCUUCGGACCAAAGAUUUAUCGCCUUUGGAUGGGCCCGCGUUGGAUUAGCUAGUUGGUAGGGUAAAAGCCUACCAAGGCGACGAUCCAUAGCUGGUCUGAGAGGAUGAUCAGCCACACUGGGACUGAGACACGGCCCAGACUCCUACGGGAGGCAGCAGUGGGGAAUAUUGGACAAUGGGCGAAAGCCUGAUCCAGCAAUGCCGCGUGAGUGAUGAAGGCCUUAGGGUUGUAAAGCUCUUUUACCCGGGAUGAUAAUGACAGUACCGGGAGAAUAAGCUCCGGCUAACUACGUG